rnacentral:ncRNA from 1 species
AUAAAGUUUUAUUCUGGUUUUUAUAUUAGGUAAAUUUAUUUAAUUAUAUGAAAAUUUUUGUGAGAUUGAAUUAUUUUUUAAAUAGGAAUAAUUGAAGUAUUUAUUCUCAGUAAUUAGUUUUAAAUAUAAAGGUAAUUUUGAUUUAGAAAUAAAUUUUAGUAUUAACAAAGUUUGUGCCAGCAGUUGCGGUUAGACAAGCAAUACUACUUAAUAUAUAUUUAGUGUCAAUUAAUUUAAAUAAUAUAGGAAUUUAAAUUAUAAGUUUAUUAAGUGAAAUUUUAAAUUUAUUAAAUAAUUCUUUUUUGUUAAUGAAGUUGGGAAAUCUACGAUUUAAACUAGGAUUAGAUACCCUAUUAUUGUAGACGUGAACUUGUAAAACUAAAUUAGUAAAAGUUAUGUUCUUGAAAAUUAAAGAAUUUGGCGGUAUUUUAGUCUAUUCAGAGGAACCUGUCCUGUAAUUGAUAAUCCACGAUUAAUAGUACCAAUGUUUUUAAUUUGUAUAUCGUUGUAGUUUAAAUAUUUUAGGAGAAUUAUAAUAUUUAAAAUUUUUAAUAAAGAAAGUUAAUCAGAUCAAGAUGCAGUUUAUAUAUUGGUAGAGAUGGGUUACAAUAAAUAUAUUUAUGGAAAAAUAGUUGAAAAUUAUUUUGAAAAUGGAUUUGAAAGUAAUUUUAUAUAUAUAUGUAAGAUGAUUUUAGCUCUAAAAUAUGUACAUAUCGCCCGUCGCUUUCAUUACAAAGUGAAAUAAGUCGUAACAUAGUAGUCUUACUGGAAAGUGAGGCUAGACAGAU